CCUACGGGCGGCAGCAGUGGGGAAUAUUGCGCAAUGGGCGAAAGCCUGACGCAGCGACGCCGCGUGAGGGAUGAAGGUCUUCGGAUCGUAAACCUCUGUCAGCAGGGAAGAACGGUCACUGUGCUAAUCAGCAGUGAAUUGACGGUACCUGCAAAGGAAGCACCGGCUAACUCCGUGCCAGCAGCCGAGGUAAUACGGGGGGUGAGAGCGUUAAUCGGAAUUACUGGGCGUAAAGCGCUCGUAGGCGUUAUGUCAAGUCAAGGGAGAAAUCCCCGCGCUCAACGUGGGAACUGCCUUUGAAAAUGGCAAACUGGAGUGUGUGGGAAGAUAGUUGAAUGCCAGGUGUAGGAGUGAAAUCCGUAGAUAUCUGGAGGAACAUCAGUGGCGAAGGCGACUAUCUGGCAUAACUGACGCUGAGGAGCGAAAGCGUGGGUAGCAAACAGGAUUAGAUACCCCUGUAGU
rnacentral:rRNA from 1 species